rnacentral:rRNA from 1 species
CCUACGGGGGGCAGCAGUGAGGAAUAUUGGUCAAUGGGCUUACGCCUGAACCAGCCAAGUCGCGUGAGGGAAGACUGCCCUAUGGGUUGUAAACCUCUUUUGUCAGGGAGCAACGCCGGCUACGUGUAGCCGGACUGAGAGUACCUGCAGAAAAAGCAUCGGCUAACUCCGUGCCAGCAGCCGCGGUAAUACGGAGGAUGCGAGCGUUAUCCGGAUUUAUUGGGUUUAAAGGGUGCGUAGGCGGAAUGCCAAGUCAGCGGUAAAAUCGCGGGGCUCAACCUCGCUCCGCCGUUGAAACUGGCGGUCUUGAGUGGGCGAGAAGUAGGCGGAAUGCGGGGUGUAGCGGUGAAAUGCAUAGAUAUCACGCAGAACUCCGAUUGCGAAGGCAGCAUACCGGCGCCCAACUGACGCUGAAGCACGAAAGCGUGGGUAUCGAACAGGAUUAGAUACCCCAGUAGUC